GAGACACAUGGAUUAUAGUCUAGCAGCGCUGAAGCUGCUGUGCGUGCAACUGAAAGACGCCCGCGAAACCCCUUCUCAGAACGCAUUGACUCUUGGCGGUAUUCUCUUCCAACGCGCAUGGCUGCAGGGCAUUNNNNUGGCGACGGCUGUCUGCUCCUUGAUGAUGGCACCGGUGUCAUCCAGCUUUCUCUUUCCGGCGACUUCCGUCUCCGCCGCUGGGAUAUAGGGAUGUAUGUGAUGGUAAUUGGUGGGUAUUUUGUUGGUACGGGUGAGAGUCCCAUGAUUAAGGUUCAUAAGAUUGUUGAUCUAUCACCAUUUCCAGAUCGAGAAGCCAUGUGGUAUCUUGAAGUAAUGGAGGCAUAUAAAUUGUUCUACCAGCCC
rnacentral:misc_RNA from 1 species